UCAUGGUGGCGGCUGGGGGCAGCAGCCUCAUGGUGGUGGCUGG
rfam:Tupaia tana prion protein (PRNP) gene, partial cds.